GGAAAAUUAGUUUAAAUAAAACAUUAACUUGUCAAGUUAAAUAUAUAUUUGUUAUAUUUUCCC
rnacentral:tRNA from 1 species